AAUGUUUAAUUAAAUAGCCCUCAUAUAAUAAUGGGAAUAUGGCCCAUAAGUUUCUACCCGGUAACCGUAAAAUACUGGACUAUGAGGGAAAGUGAAUGAAAA
rfam:Bacillus circulans strain RIT379 contig44, whole genome shotgun sequence.